UAUCUCUGUAGAGUCUGCAUAUCAAUAAGCGGAGGAAAAGAAACUAACUAGGAUUCCCUUAGUAACGGCGAGUGAAGCGGGAAGAGCUCGAAUUUGAAAUCUUCAAGGUUUUACCUUGACGAAUUGUAGUUUAAAGAAGUGUUUUCUGUUGGUGUUUUGGUAAAAGUUCUUUGGAAUAGGACAUCAUAGAGGGUGAGAAUCCCGUAUUUGACCAUUACUUCCAGCGUUGUGAUACACUUUCAAAGAGUCGGAUUGUUUGGGAAUGCAGUCCAAAAUGGGUGGUAAAUUUCAUCUAAAGCUAAAUAUUGGCGAGAGACCGAUAGCGAACAAGUACCGUGAGGGAAAGAUGAAAAGAACUUUGAAGAGAGAGUUAAACAGUACGUGAAAUUGUCAAAAGGGAAGCGUUUGACACCAGUGUUGUUUUUCUGAAAAUCAAUUAAAGAACUGUUUAUGCUAAGUUGUUUAGACUUUAUCAGCUAACUGUUUAGUUUUGAGCUUUUCCUUAAUGCACUUUUCAGUUAACAAGUCAACAUCAAUUUCUUUUGCUGUAAAAAAGCUUGAGGAAGGUGGCUUGAGAUUCGUCUUAAGUGUUUAUAGCCUCUUGCCUAGUGCAGUCGGAGAGAUUGAGGUCUGCAGCGUAGAUCCUUCGGGGCUAAAUGCAUUUGUGCUAAGUUAUAGCAUUUUAUAGACAACUUGUUGACUAUGAUUUGUCUUGUAGCUUACUCGCUUAUGUUAUUUUACCUACGCUUAGGAUGUUGACGAUCAGCUGAGCGCG
rnacentral:rRNA from 1 species